rnacentral:lncRNA from 1 species
AUUGCUUUACCUUCUGAAUAACAGCUCAGCUCAAAAAUGGCGGCGUUCGUACAGCCACUACUCGCUCCACCACGCAUUAGACUCGUUACAAGUGUCGCCGAAACUCGCUCUACUCCUCGCUGGCGACAGUAAUUGGUUUUGAUUAUGAUCAUUUGAAUUGGAAUCACCAUUUUUUUCCUUUCUGAUUUUUUUAUGAUCAUCUGUACGGAGAAUCAUUCCUUUUGUAAUUCAUUCAAAAAAUAACUUCUUGUUUUUUUUAAAUCUCACUUUCAUAAUUUGUGAUAAGUUGAUAACAAAAUACAUCAAAAGCAAUGGUUGGUUCGGAACUAAACAGGUAAAAUAAUAUUAUUAUUUCUUGAGAUUAAACAAAUAUAAAAUUUUUACUCGGAUCAUUAAAUUCUAUGAUGUUGUAUAAUAUCCAGGUCCGAAUUUUAGUUCGGGAUCAAUUUGGAUAUUUAUAAAAAUAAUUACAAAUUAAUUUUAAAUUAAAUUAAUUUUAUUUUAUUAAAUUAUUUGAAAAAAAUAAGUUAGGACGUAAUUGAAAGCAAUUUUAGAAAAAAUAGAUAAAAAUUUGAAUUCGAGUAUGACGUGUGGCAAAAGACGCUGACAUCAGCACCACGCAGGAGGUCACGCAGGUGAUUCGUGUGCCCAGCAAUUUGACAGCCCAGGUUCGAACAUGCGGGCGUGAAUGGCUCAGAUACAUUCCUUCCUUAAGUGCGAUUGAAUAGACGAGAUCAAUCAGGAUGAAUGGUUCAGAUUCGCCCACGUAAUCGGCUUAAAAAGGCAACAAUCGGACAGUUCUUCUCGCUCCACGUCGAUGCAGAUGGACGGCUUAGAUCAACGUGGGAUGAGUAUAUGAACAUCACAUCGUAAGAGGACCCCAACCCUAGCCGCCCUGCCCUUGCCGGAGAAUAAAGACCAGCCGCCGGAGAAGGAGACUGAUCCUCGGUCGCCACUGCACUAAAGCCACCAUCGAUCGCCAAAAAAGGUAAAAUUCUUCUCUACCCACUUGAAAUUCGAUUCUGAGUCUCUCCAUGGCCGUAUUGGAGCAAAAAGGGUGAUGGAUGAGCCAAAAAUUGUGGACAAAGCCCGCAGCCGAAACCCUAAAACUCCUCCGAUGAGUCCAUUCCCAUUUCUCGUUUCACAUGAUUUUUCGACCAUUAUAUUCAUCGUCCUUUUCUGUGCAGGUUAGCCGAAGAAGAAAUUCCAAUCGCGAAGGAGAAUCGGCAGAGUCGCACAAGGAGAUCCCUCUGCCGGUAGGUUCGGUUUUUUUGUG